rnacentral:rRNA from 1 species
AUUGAACGCUGGCGGCAGGCCUAACACAUGCAAGUCGAACGAGUGGCGGACGGGUGCGUAAUGGCUGGGAAACUGCCCGUUGGAGGGGGAUAACUGCGGGAAACGGUAGCUAAUCACGCAUACCAUCCGAUGUGGCCAGAUGGGAUUAGCUGGUAGGUGAGGUAACGGCCCACCUAGGCGACGAUCCCUAGCGGGUCUGAGAGGUUGAACAGCAACACGGGAACGGAGACACGGUCCAGACUCCUACGGGAGGCAGCAGUGGGGAAUAUUGCACAAUGGGCGCAAGCCUGAGGCAGCAAUGCCGCGUGUAUGAAGAAGGUCUUCGGGUUGUAAAGUACUUUCAGCGGGGAGGCGUUACCCGCAGAAGAAGCACCGGCUAACUACGUGCCAGCAGCCGCGGUAAUGC